GAUGAAGAACGUAGCGAAAUGCGAUAAGUAAUGUGAAUUGCAGAAUUCAGUGAAUCAUCGAAUCUUUGAACGCACAUUGCGCCCCCUGGUAUUCCGGGGGGCAUGCCUGUCCGAGCGUCAUUGCUGCCCUCAAGCACGGCUUGUGUGUUGGGCCCCGUCCUCCGAUUCCGGGGGACGGGCCCGAAAGGCAGCGGCGGCACCGCGUCCGGUCCUCGAGCGUAUGGGGCUUUGUCACCCGCUCUGUAGGCCCGGCCGGCGCUUGCCGAUCAACCCAAAUUUUUAUCCAGGUUGACCUCGGAUCAGGUAGGGAUACCCGCUGAACUUAAGCAUAUCAAUAAGCGGAGGA
rnacentral:misc_RNA from 1 species